GAUGAACGCUAGCGGCAGGCUUAACACAUGCAAGUCGAGGGGCAGCGCGGGAUAGCAAUAUCCUGGCGGCGACCGGCGGAAGGGUGCGUAACGCGUGAGCGACAUGCCCGUUGCCCGGGGACAACCGGUGGAAACGCCGACUAAUCCCCGAUGGGAUAUUGUGCCGCAUGGCACGAUAUUGAAAGUUACGGCGGCGACGGAUUGGCUCGCGUCCGAUUAGCUGGUUGGCGGGGUAACGGCCCACCAAGGCUGCGAUCGGUAGGGGUUGUGAGAGGAAGGCCCCCCAAAAUGGGACUGAGACACGGCCCAUACUCCUACGGGAGGCAGCAGUGAGGAAUAUUGGUCAAUGGGCGGAAGCCUGAACCAGCCAUGCCGCGUGCGGGAAGGAGGCCCUAUGGGCUGUGAACCGCUUUUGCCUGGGGGCAAUAAGGGCGUCGCGCACGUCCGAUGAGAGUACCAGGCGAAUAAGCAUCGGCUAACUCCGUG
rnacentral:rRNA from 1 species